rnacentral:rRNA from 1 species
UACGGAGGAGGCAAGCGUUAUCCGGAAUUACUGGGCGUAAAGCGUCCGUAGAUGGUUUUGUCAGUCUGCUGUCAAAGCACAGGGCUUAACCCUGUAAAGGCAGUGGAAACUACAAGACUAGAGUGCAGUAGGGGCAGAGGGAAUUCCCAGUGUAGCGGUGAAAUGCGUAGAGAUUGGGAAGAACACCCGUGGCGAAAGCGCUCUGCUGGACUGCAACUGACAUUGAGGGACGAAAGCUAGGGGAGCGAAUGGG